GCGGCCGCGCCCGGGGCUACGAGGCGAAGGCGGCGACCCAUCGCGGGGCCCCCGGGCUCUUCCCUGACGCCUGGACCUGCGGCUGCGAAUCAAAGCUGCUUGGAACCAGGUCUGCUCAGCUCUGAUGGCAAAGGACGGAGCCGAAGCACAGUCAGGACUUUUCGUGAGAGGACUAUGCAGGGCUCACACACCGCUGCUGUGUGCUUUCUUGCCCCUGUUUCCCAGUCACCGAUCCCAUCAGGGUGAAGGGAAAGGAAGUGUCCACCCAGAACUCCUCCUAACUUUACUCCUUUUGGCAGCUUCUCUUGUUUUAUCUUCUCUCUGUGGAAUAACCUUUAGAACAGGCUAACGUCAACCCCGGAACUCCCUGCCUAAAAGGAGUUUGGAUAAGUCAGUUGAAAUGCAUUUGAGUCUCAAGAAACAGAAGGCUCAGACAGUUGCCACCACUGUGAAGACUUGCCAUCUCACAUG
ensembl:lincRNA Gm40190 predicted gene, 40190